GUACUAACUAAUAAAUAAUUCUGGUGUGAUGAGCCCUCACAAAGGACCACUUCUCAAAAGGAACAGAUCUCUUUGCCGUUUUACUUCUCUUAGUCUUUCCUACACUUGAAGAGAGAAUUCAGUAAAAAUAAAAGCUGAACUUCUGAUGACCUGUGAAAGAAAGGUUUCUGAAGCAGUUGUGUGCCUGUGUAGUAGCAGCCCUCAAUGGGGGGUUUGCUGACUAUCCCAAAGCUCAGAGGCGGACAUGUGGCAAUAUUGUCUGGUCACAAAAGGGAUGUGGAGAAGGUUUCAAUGUUCUUUAUAAGGGAGGAAAGGUCAUUCUAGGACAUGAUUCAGCAUUUGCUAUGGGCCUCACAUUUAAGAGCUCAGCUUGUUUCACAAACAUACCAUUUCAGACUGAUUGGAUGCCCAAAGACAGCUACAUGUCAUUGUGCUUUCAGGACUGAGACUGAUUGAAGUCAGGAAGAAACCAUCAGGCACAGCAGAACAGGGGAAGAAGAUGCCUAAAUCCCUUGACUGCUGAGAGGAGACAGUUCUUGUACAGCAGUAGUGAGAGAAACUGUGGUGGAGUUGCCUAAUAACUGUGAUCUCUGGUGGCCGUCUUGGUGGUGAAUCUGCAUCCGUUCCAGACCACUCCUCUCUGAAGCCCUGCAUGGGCCUGCUGU